rnacentral:rRNA from 1 species
CAUGUGUAGCGGUGAAAUGCGUAGAUAUAUGGAGGAACACCGGUGGCGAAAGCGGCUCUCUGGUCUGUAACUGACGCUGAGGCUCGAAAGCGUGGGGAGCGAACAGGAUUAGAUACCCUGGUAGUNCACGCCGUAAACGAUGAGUGCUAGGUGUUAGGCCCUUUCCGGGGCUUAGUGCCGCAGCUAACGCAUUAAGCACUCCGCCUGGGGAGUACGACCGCAAGGUUGAAACUCAAAGGAAGUGACGGGGGCCCGCACAAGCGGUGGAGCAUGUGGUUUAAUUCGAAGCAACGCGAAGAACCUUACCUGGUCUUGACAUCCCGAUGCCCGCUCUAGAGAUAGAGUUUUACUUCGGUACAUCGGUGACAGGUGGUGCAUGGUUGUCGUCAGCUCGUGUCGUGAGAUGUUGGGUUAAGUCCCGCAACGAGCGCAACCCUUAUUGUUAGUUGCCAUCAUUCAGUUGGGCACUCUAGCGAGACUGCCGGUAAUGAACCGGAGGAAGGUGGGGAUGACGUCAAAUCAUCAUGCCCCUUAUGACCUGGGCUACACACGUGCUACAAUGGCUGGUACAACGAGUCGCAAGUCGGUGACGGCAAGCUAAUCUCUUAAAGCCAGUCUCAGUUCGGAUUGUAGGCUGCAACUCGCCUACAUGAAGUCGGAAUCGNUAGUAAUCGCGGAUCAGCACGCCGCGGUGAAUACGUUCCCGGGCCUUGUACACACCGCCCGUCACACCACGAGAGUUUGUAACACC